UCAUGGCUCAGGAUGAACGCUGGCGGCGUGCUUAACACAUGCAAGUCGAACGAUGAAGCCCAGCUUGCUGGGUGGAUUAGUGGCGAACGGGUGAGUAACACGUGAGCAACCUGCCCCUGACUCUGGGAUAAGCGCUGGAAACGGCGUCUAAUACUGGAUACGAGUAGCGAUCGCAUGGUCAGUUACUGGAAAGAUUUUUUGGUUGGGGAUGGGCUCGCGGCCUAUCAGCUUGUUGGUGAGGUAAUGGCUCACCAAGGCGUCGACGGGUAGCCGGCCUGAGAGGGUGACCGGCCACACUGGGACUGAGACACGGCCCAGACUCCUACGGGAGGCAGCAGUGGGGAAUAUUGCACAAUGGGCGGAAGCCUGAUGCAGCAACGCCGCGUGAGGGAUGACGGCCUUCGGGUUGUAAACCUCUUUUAGCAGGGAAGAAGCGAAAGUGACGGUACCUGCAGAAAAAGCGCCGGCUAACUACGUGCCAGCAGCCGCGGUAAUACGUAGGGCGCAAGCGUUAUCCGGAAUUAUUGGGCGUAAAGAGCUCGUAGGCGGUUUGUCGCGUCUGCUGUGAAAUCCCGAGGCUCAACCUCGGGCCUGCAGUGGGUACGGGCAGACUAGAGUGCGGUAGGGGAGAUUGGAAUUCCUGGUGUAGCGGUGGAAUGCGCAGAUAUCAGGAGGAACACCGAUGGCGAAGGCAGAUCUCUGGGCCGUAACUGACGCUGAGGAGCGAAAGGGUGGGGAGCAAACAGGCUUAGAUACCCUGGUAGUCCACCCCGUAAACGUUGGGAACUAGUUGUGGGGUCCAUUCCACGGAUUCCGUGACGCAGCUAACGCAUUAAG
rnacentral:rRNA from 1 species